rnacentral:misc_RNA from 1 species
AACCAUAGAAACCUGCGGAGUACCUGCGGAGGGAUCAUUAUAGUAUAUGGAAUCUCCAUUCUAUAAACCCACUCUGCGUAUCUUGUAACUGUUGCUUCCGUGGGACUUGGUUCCGCCACACCGGCUUCACGGCUGGUGAGCGCCCAUGGAAGGAGAAACAAAACUCUUCUUUGAAAUGUAGUCAGUCUGAACAAGUUUUUAUAAACGUUAAAACUUUUAACAAUGGAUCUCAGAUCGGAA